AUUGAACGCUGGCGGCAGGCCUAACACAUGCAAGUCGAGCGGAUGAAGGGAGCUUUCUCCUGGAUUCAGCGGCGGACGGGUGAGUAAUGCCUAGGAAUCUGCCUGGUUGUGGGGGAUAACGUCCGGAAAAGGGCGCUAAUACCGCAUGAGUCCUGAGGGAGAAAGUGGGGGGUCUUUGGAACGUACGCUAUCAGAUGAGCCUAGGUCGGAUUAGCUAGUUGGUGGGGUAAAGGCCUACCAAGGCGACGAUCCGUAACUGGUCUGAGAGGAUGAUCAGUCACACUGGAACUGAGACACGGUCCAGACUCCUACGGGAGGCAGCAGUGGGGAAUAUUGGACAAUGGGCGAAAGCCUGAUCCAGCCAUGCCGCGUGUGUGAAGAAGGUCUUCGGAUUGUAAAGCACUUUAAGUUGGGAGGAAGGGCAGUAAGUUAAUACCUUGCUGUUUUGACGUUACCAACAGAAUAAGCACCGGCUAACUUCGUG
rnacentral:rRNA from 1 species